UACGUAGGGUGCGAGCGUUGUCCGGAAUUACUGGGCGUAAAGCGUGCGCAGGCGGUUGUGUAAGUCUGUCGUGAAAUCCCCGGGCUCAACCUGGGAAUUGCGAUGGAGACUGCACGGCUAGAGUGUGUCAGAGGGGGGUAGAAUUCCACGUGUAGCAGUGAAAUGCGUAGAUAUGUGGAGGAACACCGAUGGCGAAGGCAGCCCCCUGGGAUAACACUGACGCUCAUGCACGAAAGCGUGGGGAGCAAACAGG
rnacentral:rRNA from 1 species